UGGGGAAUCUUCCGCAAUGGACGAAAGUCUGACGGAGCAACGCCGCGUGUAUGAUGAAGGUCUUCGGAUUGUAAAGUACUGUCAUUGGGGAAGAACGGUUUUCUUGAAAAGAUUGAGGAGACAUGACGGUACCCAAGGAGGAAGCCCCGGCUAACUACGUGCCAGCAGCCGCGGUAAUACGUAGGGGGCAAGCGUUGUCCGGAAUUAUUGGGCGUAAAGGGCGCGUAGGCGGGCCUUUAAGUCCGGUGUGAAAGAUCAGGGCUCAACCCUGAGAGUGCAUCGGAAACUGGAGGCCUUGAGGACAGGAGAGGAAAGUGGAAUUCCACGUGUAGCGGUGAAAUGCGUAGAUAUGUGGAGGAACACCAGUGGCGAAGGCGACUUUCUGGACUGUAACUGACGCUGAGGCGCGAAAGCGUGGGGAGCAAACAGGAUUAGAUACCCUGGUAGUCCACGCCGUAAACGAUGAGUGCUAGGUGUAGAGGGUAUCGACCCCUUCUGUGCCGCAGUUAACACAAUAAGCACUCCGCCUGGGGAGUACGGCCGCAAGGUUGAAACUCAAAUGAAUUGACGGGGUCAUAGCUGUUUCCU
rnacentral:rRNA from 1 species